rnacentral:misc_RNA from 1 species
AAAAAAAAAAAAAAAAAAAACUACUCUCUAUUUUUGAAGUUCGUGGUUUUGAGAAAAGACCUGUUCUCUUACACAACAGCUUCUAUUUGUGGAAGUCUUCUGCAAUAUGCUGUGCAUAUGGUUCCCCUGUUGUUUUUCCCCUGAUUUGAGCUUAAUUAUUCUCCUGUAUAGUCUUCCCUCUCUCAAAUGACAAUAGAGCGGCAGAUGAUAGAGCUGUUGUGAAAGUGAGUGGGGUUUGGUUAAGAGGAAGCAGGAAGAGAUAGAGAGAGAUUUAGAUCGAGUGAAGAAGAAGAAGAAGCUUCCUCCUCAUUAUUUAUUCUUCUUCUCUUCGAUUUGUCUUCCAAUAUUUGAAGAAGUGAUUGGCAUUCCUCGUCAUCUUGAUGCUUUUCAUUUCUGCUUCUCCUUUUAUCUCUACUAUAUAUAGGAUGGACCCCACACUCCAUAAUUUCCUGCAGAUCCUCGUAACAGUCAGCGUUGAAGCAAAAUGAGGCCUUAACGAAACACUCUUCAUCAAAACGUGUCCUCAAUCCAUUGAAUGAAAGCAACACGUGUGAUGAGUCCGAAAGAUACGGAACUUCAAAAUAACCAUUCCAAUUCGCAACGUCCUUAUCGCUAAAUAAGGAAAAUCUAGAUUCACAUAUGAAAUCCGAAUCAUACGGACCUCCAUAACGACUCCAAUUCGCAAAGUCCUUAUAGCUAGAUAAGUUGAACGCAUUACGUUCCCGCCUAUUUCCAGAUUCACAUAUGAAAUCCACUUUAAAUCUACGAAAACGAAUAAAAACGCCUAUUAAACGACUUCUGGGACGAAGAACAACGCAGAAAGAGAAGGCAAUUAAGUGACGAAGGUCAAUUUUGAAUGAAAGCGAGGAUCCAAUUUUAUUUUUACAUCUCAUCCAUUCUGGCACUUCACCUCCUGCCAUCAAUAAUGUAACUUUCUGACCCAACAGGUGCGCUUCAAAAACAUCCUCCAUUACUUUCUUAUUCAAUUUGACGCAACUACUAAAAUUAAGAAAUUUGCAAUCUUCAGAUUCACUUUUAUGUGCUUCUUCAUUUUCAUGUUCACUUUUAUCUGCUUCUUCAUUUUCAUCUUCAUGUUCUAAGAAAUGGAAAGAAAUUGAUGCAGAUUCCAAAGAGGGGCAAUUACUUGCAUCUAAGUAUUCUAAGCAUGAUGGAAGCUCUGGUAAACUUUUAAGACUCUCGCAACGGGCUAAAUCAAACUCUUUCAACUUCGAAAGUUGUUU